rnacentral:rRNA from 1 species
UAAGCACCGGCUAACUCCGUGCCAGCAGCCGCGGUAAUACGGAGGGUGCGAGCGUUAUCCGGAUUUAUUGGGUUUAAAGGGUCCGUAGGCGGAUUAAUAAGUCAGUGGUGAAAUCCCAUCGCUUAACGAUGGAACUGCCAUUGAUACUGUUAGUCUUGAAUGAGGGUGGCAGUGGUUGGAAUGUGUAGUGUAGCGGUGAAAUGCAUAGAUAUUACACAGAACACCGAUUGCGAAGGCAGAUCACUAACCCUAAAUUGACGCUGAGGGACGAAAGCGUGGGGAGGCGAACAGGAUUAGAUACCCCUGGUAG